AACCUCACUGUUGUCAAUAGGCU
rnacentral:piRNA from 1 species